rnacentral:rRNA from 1 species
CAAGUCGAACGGUCUCCAUCCAGUAGCAAUACUGGGGAAGAGAUAGUGGCGAACGGGUGAGUAACACGUGAGAAACCUGUCCUGGUCUCUGGGAUAACAGCUGGAAACAGCUGCUAAUACCGGAUGCCGUCGGAGCGUCGCAUGGCGCGCUGACGAAAGGGUUACCGGAUCAGGAGGGUCUCGCGGCCUAUCAGCUAGUUGGUGGGGUAACGGCCUACCAAGGCAUCGACGGGUAGCUGGUCUGAGAGGAUGAUCAGCCACACUGGGACUGAGACACGGCCCAGUCUCCUACGGGAGGCAGCAGUGGGGAAUCUUGCGCAAUGGGCGAAAGCCUGACGCAGCAACGCCGCGUGCGGGAAGAAGGCCUUCGGGUUGUAAACCGCUUUCAGAAGGAACGAAACUGACGGUACUUUCAGAAGAAGGUGCGGCCAACUACGUGCCAGCAGCCGCGGUGACACGUAGGCACCAAGCGUUGUCCGGAUUUAUUGGGCGUAAAGAGCUCGUAGGCGGUUCGGUAAGUCGGGUGUGAAAACUUUGGGCUCAACCCAAAGCGUGCAUUCGAUACUGCCGUGACUAGAGUUCGGUAGGGGAGUGGGGAAUUCCUAGUGUAGCGGUGAAAUGCGCAGAUAUUAGGAGGAACACCGGUGGCGAAGGCGCCACUCUGGGCCGAAACUGACGCUGAGGAGCGAAAGCGUGGGUAGCAAACAGGAUUAGAUACCCUGGUAGUCCACGCCGUAAACGUUGGGCACUAGGUGUGGGUCUCAAACAACGAGAUCCGCGCCGUCACUAACGCAUUAAUGCCCCGCCUGGGAGUACGGCCGCAAGGUUAAACUCGAAGGAUUGACAG